rnacentral:tRNA from 1 species
GCUAGUGUAGCAGAGCCUGGCUAAAUGCAAAAGACUUAAACCCUUUUCCCAGAGGUUCAAAUCCUCUCCCUAGCA